rnacentral:rRNA from 1 species
AGAACGAACGCUGGCGGCAUGCCUAAUACAUGCAAGUCGAACGAGACCUUCGGGUCUAGUGGCGCACGGGUGCGUAACGCGUGGGAAUCUACCCUUGGGUUCGGAAUAACAGUUGGAAACGACUGCUAAUACCGGAUGAUGACGAAAGUCCAAAGAUUUAUCGCCCAGGGAUGAGCCCGCGUAGGAUUAGCUAGUUGGUGAGGUAAGGCUCACCAAGGCUACGAUCCUAGCUGUCUGAGAGGAAGAUCAGCCACACUGGACUGAGACACGCCCAGACUCCGUACGGAGGCAGCAGUAGGGAAUAGUUAGGACAAGUCGGGGGACAACCCGUGAACGU